UUAUCAGCAUUCAGUUUGCACCUUUUGCCAUCAUACAUCAGACUCCGCUUCAACCAUUUAGACGACGAGGUCUAUGCUGGGGAUUUUUUGGUUCUCUGGCCAAUUGCCGGCCCCAGGAUCGCUCCUUCUCUGCCAAACACCGCUGCCAAGCUCCAGUCUUCGUCACGGCCACUGCUCUCUGCUCGUCCAGCCACACGCUUUCCACGACACCUAGGCUUAACCUCUCCUCAACCGGCAUCACUUCCAAUUUUUCCCUGGCAUCUUCUUAUCUUUCUGCUGUGCCAACAACUCCUCAAAUUGGAAAUUAAACGUAUUUAAGACAGAGACAAAUGCUGAUUAAUUCCGACGCUCCAUCCUUCAUGGUCAGCCCUUUCGAUGCCCCGCAUUCUCAGUUUUGCAUUAGCCAUUGGAGUGGCUACUUGGGAAAUUCUGGGGUUUGGUUAGCUGAACAGCCAAUCAGAGUGAUCCGUCUCAGAAAGCUGCCGACAGGGUCUGAAUUGUACCAUUGGUGCAAAACACACACUAAAAACUAAGCCGACAGAUGCUCAACGCAGACCCAACAUUAGGCGACCUUCGGCUUGAUGUGUCAUGGCCGUAAGAUUGCCAAAUACAGUACAGAACAUCAAAGCGCAUGGAGACUGGGCUGUUUUAAGACGGAACGGGUGUUUCUCUUUAAAACACUGUCCAAACAGAUCCAAGGACUCCGGCGUGAAUGGAUGCUCUGUUUGCUUGUAUGCAUUAGUCUUGGUUUGCAUGCUCUACUGGGUUAGUGUGGUGCCAUUGGCAGAAGGAAUGCAGGAGGACCUAAAGGAAACACUUAUGGAAUGUGAAGGGCUGAAUGACAUCAUGUGAGUCGUCAAGGGCUGGAAGAAGCUAAAGUUGCCCUGGUUUUACAUCUCAUUUACGCAAAACUGAAAAGAGCCAUUGUACAGCCACAAUGUGUAAGGUGUGUGUGUGUGUGUGUGUGUGUGUGUGUGUGGAAAAGCCUAUGCAUUUGCCCUCAGGACAGAUCAAGCCACAUUAGUCUAGUGCCCUCAUCAGUGAAAGUAGUUCAGCCGUGAGGUCAGUGCACAUGCUAU